rnacentral:rRNA from 1 species
GACGAACCGUGCGAACGUUAUUCGGAAUCAUUGGGCUUAAAGGGUGCGUAGGCGGCGAGGUAAGUGGAAGGUGAAAUCCCAUCGGCUCAACCGUGGAAUUGCCUCCCAUACUGCCUUGCUUGAGGGAAAUAGGGGUCCGCGGAACUUCCGGUGGAGCGGUGAAAUGUGUUGAGAUCGGAGGGAACGCCAGUGGCGAAAGCGGCGGACUGGAUUUCUCCUGACGCUGAGGCACGAAAGCCAGGGGAGCAAACGGG